AUGAAAGGUCGGCCAUCAAAGCUGCCAACCGCGUCUAAUCGCCGCUGUCAGCAGCGGGAGCAGAAUGCCUGCGAAUGGGAAAGUGCACGGGCGCUGGGUAAAGGAGGAACGCGCUCGCAGAGAAAAUAAGCACUGAAAACAUACGCAUCAAAUACAUCGCAGGGUCGCGGUUGUUUGCACAUUUCCCAUAAAUGAAGAUAAGUUUUCCAUCAAGUCAUUGGGUUGUUUGUUUUUUUUUUUGUACUCCAGCCUGAAAUAAAGCUAUGAAG
rnacentral:lncRNA from 1 species